rnacentral:rRNA from 1 species
AUUGAACGCUGGCGGCAGGCCUAACACAUGCAAGUCGAGCGGAUGACGGGAGCUUGCUCCUUGAUUCAGCGGCGGACGGGUGAGUAAUGCCUAGGAAUCUGCCUGGUAGUGGGGGACAACGUUUCGAAAGGAACGCUAAUACCGCAUACGUCCUACGGGAGAAAGCAGGGGACCUUCGGGCCUUGCGCUAUCAGAUGAGCCUAGGUCGGAUUAGCUAGUUGGUGGGGUAAUGGCUCACCAAGGCGACGAUCCGUAACUGGUCUGAGAGGAUGAUCAGUCAGACUGGAACGGAGACACGGUCCAGACCCCUACGGGAGGCAGCAGUGGGGAAUAUUGGACAAUGGGCGAAAGCCUGAUCCAGCCAUGCCGCGUGUGUGAAGAAGGUCUUCGGAUUGUAAAGCACUUUAAGUUGGGAGGAAGGGCAGUAAGCUAAUACCUUGCUGUUUUGACGUUACCGACAGAAUAAGCACCGGCUAACUCUGUGCCAGCCGCCGCGGUAA